rnacentral:rRNA from 1 species
UGGGGAAUAUUGCACAAUGGAGGGAACUCUGAUGCAGCGACGCCGCGUGAGUGAUGAAGGAAUUCGUUUCGUAAAACUCUGUUCUAUGGGAAGAAAAGGACUGUACCAUAGGAGAAAGCUCCGGCUAAAUACGUGCCAGCAGCCGCGGUAAUACGUAUGGAGCGAGCGUUGUCCGGAAUUAUUGGGCGUAAAGGGUGCGCAGGCGGCUUUACAAGUUGGAUGUGAAAUAUUGUGGCUCAACCACAAACGUGCAUCCAAAACUGCAAAGCUUGAGUUAAGGAGAGGUAAGUGGAAUUCCUGGUGUAGCGGUGGAAUGCGUAGAUAUCAGGAGGAAUACCGGUGGCGAAGGCGACUUACUGGGCUUAAACUGACGCUCAGGCACGAAAGCGUGGGGAGCAAACAGG